CCUACGGGAGGCAGCAGUGGGGAAUAUUGCACAAUGGGGGAAACCCUGAUGCAGCGACGCCGCGUGAGUGAAGAAGUAAUUCGUUAUGUAAAGCUCUAUCAGCAGGGAAGAAAAUGACGGUACCUGUGUAAGAAGCCCCGGCUAACUACGUGCCAGUAGCCGCGGUAAUACGUAGGGGGCAAGCGUUAUCCGGAUUUACUGGGCGUAAAGGGAGCGUAGACGGCAGUACAAGUCUGGAGUGAAAGGCGGGGGCUCAACCCCCGGACUGCCUUGGAAACUGUACGGCGGGAGUGCAGGAGAGGUAAGUGGAAUGCCUGGUGUAGCGGUGAAAGGCGUAGAUAUUAGGAGGAACACCAGUGGCGAAGGCGGCUUACUGGACUGUAACUGACGUUGAGGCUCGAAAGCGUGGGGAGCAAACAGGAUUAGAUACCCGAGUAGUC
rnacentral:rRNA from 1 species